ACGGAGCUGGUGAUAGGAAAGGAGUGGUGGAGAGGGUGCUAGUGAUUCAUCCUCAUCAUCAUCAUGGCAGUGCCGCCCAGAGCCAUCGCCAGAUAGCUUAAGACGGUCUGGCUGGAUAUUUGGUUUAUGUCCAUCAUUGGCAAUCAGAUCACAGCACCGACGCUUUUGGCGGCCAUGUGCUCACCGGCUAGGUUGGGGCAUUCCUUGGUAAAUGUUGGAAUGUGUUGCUCUUCCCUCCUGAGCCAGCCCCUGAAACUGAACCAAUGAAUGCUGAUUCCUACAGCCUUCUCGAAAAGCCAGCUUACGAAGCGAGCACCCCUCUUUCUCUCCUCUCCCCAUCCAGGCUUUUACUCUGCUAAGCUGUGCUUGUCCCCAUUGAGUUCUUCCUUGCUAGGCUGAUGCUGACAAAAAGGUCCAAGGUGAGACGGUGUUUUCAAUGUGGUGUCAGCCAGGAUGCUUGGUGACAUCCUCUGCGCAGACGAAGAGCGCUCCCUCCCCUUCUCGCUCCCAGCAAUCCAUGUCUAAUGGUGACUUAAUUGGCAGAAGACAGCAGUAACAAGUUCCUCCUCUAGCUGAAACAACUUUUGGUGACUGUGUUGAGGGGCCUGGAUCAGCGUUCACGUCACACUCCACGUCAGUACCCGGGCUGGGCCUCGGAAGCUAAUGAUCCAAAGUUGGUGAUGAAUCCUGGCUACGUGCCAUCUGAGGCACAUUGCGCAUAUGCUAAGAAGAUGACUUUGUUGUGCUGAGUCCACCAAUGUUUUGUUAUUGGCUCAUCUUAAUUUUACAGUCCCCCCCACCCCCAAAGUCUUGGUUGAAAAGCUUUGCUCAACUUUAGUUGCAGCAUUGAGCGCAAUGAGUUAAAAAAUAAAUCCGCUAGUCUCCAAUACGUUACUGUCCCAAAUCAAAAUAACCCAACUGAAAUUUGCUUUUGAAAUCUUCAAAAUAGAAAACUGUCAUCACCA